rnacentral:rRNA from 1 species
AUGUAUCUACUUAUUGUCUUUUUGUCUUUGCUCGGUAGUUCUGUAGCCGGUUUUUCCGGACGUUUUCUAGGAUCUGGAGGAACCACUAUAAUGACCACCACGUGCAUUUCAUUUUCUUCGAUCUUAUCUUUGAUUGCUUUUUAUGAAGUCGCACUGGGAGCUAGUGCUUGCUAUCUCAGAAUAGCUCCAUGGAUCUCAUCGGAAAUGUUUGAUGCUUCUUGGGGCUUCUUGUUCAAUAGCCUGACCGUAGUGAUGUUAAUUGUGGUUACAUUCAUAAGUAGCUUGGUCCAUCUUUAUUCCAUUUCAUAUAUGUCUGAGGAUCCGCAUAGCCCUUGA